rnacentral:lncRNA from 1 species
AUGAAAGUAAGCAUCAUGAACUGGGAGAAACUUGCCAAACUAGAAUCAUAAGUGUGCAGCAGUGAAAAAAUAAUUGCUAGCAGAAAGAAGAUGGUUCAUAGAACAUCUAUAGCAAAUAAUUAAAAGUUUGGUUCUCCUUAAAGAAGGUAGAGGUCAACAAUAUUUCUGACACUGAAGAGAGGAAUAUGUUUACAAACCAAAGAAUGGUGAUGUACUUUAGCAAUGCUCUAGGUCAGGCAUCUCUAGCAGUGACCACUACUAUUACAGCCCAUGCUGAGACAAAGCAGCUGAGAUAAAUGCUGCCCAGCAUCUUAAACCAGCUUGGUACAGACAAUC